GACGAACGCUGGCGGCGUGCUUAACACGUGCAAGUCGAACGCGCCUGUCCUCUGGGUUUCUGGGGGGUGGGUGAGUGGCGAACGGGUGAGUAACACGUGAGUAACCUGCCCCCUUCUUCGGGAUAACGGUCUGAAAGGGCUGCUAAUACCGGGUAUUCACUGGUCUCCGCAUGGGGUCUGGUGGAAAGGUUUUUUUCUGGUGGGGGAUGGGCUCGCGGCCUAUCAGCUUGUUGGUGGGGUGAUGGCCUACCAAGGCUUUGACGGGUAGCCAGCCUGAGAGGGUGACCGGUAAGAUUGGGCAGGACAUACGGGCCAGGCUCCGACGCGAUGCAGAAGUGGAGAAUAUUGCACAAUGGGCGAAAGAGUGAUGCAGCGACGCCGCGUGAGGGAUGGGGGGCUUCGGGUUGUGAACCUCUUUCGCGCGUGAUCAAGCCGCAACGUUGGUCGUGGUGAGGGUAGUGGGUAAAGAAGCGCCGGCUAACUACGUG
rnacentral:rRNA from 1 species